AGCCACCAAACUCCAAAUGGUUGUGCAACCAGAGCCUUGCAAGAUGGUUCCCUUUAAGAGACCCUUAGCAUAUCCCCAUUCUUCUUGGAUGCAGGACAAGAGCUCAGGAACUGCUGAACACAGGGAUCAGAAAAAAGAUUGCUGCUUGUAAAAGGUAAGACUGGUAAAUAACUUACAUAUUAAUUUCACUAAUUAACAUAUAAUUAUCUCUCUAUUCAGCCCCAUGCCUUCAUCUGUAUUUCACUGGUU